rnacentral:rRNA from 1 species
UACGUAGGGUGCAAGCGUUGUCCGGAAUUAUUGGGCGUAAAGAGCUCGUAGGCGGUCUGUUGCGUCCGCUGUGAAAACCCGGGGCUUAACCCCUGGCUUGCAGUGGAUACGGACAGACUAGAGGUAGGUAGGGGAGAAUGGAAUUCCCGGUGUAGCGGUGAAAUGCGCAGAUAUCGGGAGGAACACCUGUGGCGAAAGCGGCGCACUGGACCACAUCUGACGCUGAGGCGCGAAAGCUAGGGGAGCAAACAGG